AGUCAAGCUUCCCAUAUCUCUCACGUCUCUGAACCUCUAGGCAGGAGACAGGGGAGUAAAAUCUCUCCAGCUAUAAAAGAAGAGCAAUUUCAAGACUGCUUCAUGAGACUGAAACUGUACAAGUCUAUGGAUCUGGCUGAUGUAGUUGCCAAGAUGAUCUCCAUCAUAUUGGAACAGUCAUGGCUAUCACAUGAAGUCUCCAAUGACAAGGAAAAGGGAAAUAUUGAUCCCAUUUUUAAGAAGGAAGAAAAGUAGACCCAAGGAACUGUAGGUGUUGAGCCUCAUGUCUGCCUGGGAAGAUCAUGGAACAGAUCCUCCUAGAAGCUAUGUUAAGAGAACAUUACCUGAGAUCACCCAAGAAUAAAUACAUAACAAGCACUGAUAGGCUUUGUACUAUUUCGCUUACAGAUCUACAGAUGCAAAUUGUAAAACAGAUACCAAAUCGCUGAUUCUCAAAAUGCUUUUAUCUACAUUUGUGUUGAAGCCAAUGAGGACUGUAACAAGAAUGGGACUUUGAAUAAUACAUCUUCUCACAUACUCGCAUGCUGCUAAAACUAUAUUAAAAAUACAGAUUAUGUAUAUAAUUUGGUAUUAACACUUCAUAUUAGUGAGAAUAAUCUUCUUUGUAAUGUUGGAUGAUUUGCAUGAGUUAGUAUUCUGACAUACAUGGCUUUCAAAUACUUUGCAUUAUAUAAUGAUGCCUUUUUUCUCAUCUUUCUAAUUAAUGAAAACUAGUGUUUAUUACAUCUAAUUUAGUGUUACCUCACUGAAAGGUAGCUAAACAUCUCUGAAACACAAAGUGUGAUCUACUUCACUUUGCAUAACUAUAUAAUUUUCUAAGUACUUAAUGGAAGGAAUCAAGUACUUCUGCAAGUGGUAGUCAGCUUGAUAUAGAUGCUUUCUUUCAGGUAAUCAUUAGAAAUUGUUUGCUGUUUCUUGCCAUUCUCAAAAGCUACAUGGUCAGUGAGUCAAAGAAUCCUCAAGACAACUAUUCAAACACAAAAGGCUCUUAGUUUCAGGAUCUCUUGAGCCUGAUGGGAAAAAUCAAUCUUUUGGUUAAUUAGUAUAUGCUCCCAUUAUGUUGUUGCACUCCAGAAAAUUUUCUUUGACCUUGCAAAGCAGCUUUCAAAACAGUCUAUACAAAUUUGAAUGUUCUGAAGAAUGUGUUAAACUCGUAGAGUAUUUGCAAUGGUGACCUGAUCUAUAAAAUCAUUAACUGCUUUUGUAACCAGAUUUUUGCUUAAUUAGUAUGGUUUUGACACAAUGAAGUAAAAAUUUUCUGCCUUGCCCCUUUGUGACUAUGCCAUAAUGGUAGAUAACUAGCAAAUUGAUUUAGUUCAAUAUGCAGUGUAACAAGCAUUAUAGUUGAUUCAGAGAGACAUCUUCCCACACAGGAAGACUCCUUUGUCAAUAUAAAACCAUUAGGAAUCUGUCUUAUUUCAUGACUGAAUCUUCAUUUUACUUUUUCUUGUGUGAAAUAUUUCCAUUCCCUGAACUUUGUAUGUUCUUUUUUUGACAUACUGACAGGCAUAUGUGGCACAAGUACCUAAAACUGGAUUGCUACAGAACUGGCAAAACUUAUGAAUUAAUCCUCUCACAAAAGAUUUCAUGAUUACGGCUAGAUGCCUACUAAAUCAUCCCCUGUAAGUCAUUAUUCACUUAAAUCUGAUGCACUAACAACUCACAGCCUUGUUUUAUACAGAUGUUAAUCGUGAAGUUCAAUUUAAAUGAAAUAGAAUUAAGUA